AAAAUCACAACCCCAAACCCAAAGGCUUAAAACUAAAACAAGAAAAAGCCUCUCUCUCUCUUCUCGUCACUUUCUCUCGACCCAAACGGCAAGGAGAAACCUCGGUAACUUGGAAUCGAACCUCCGCUCGCUCAAUUUCUGUGGCAAAUUCAUUCACUCAUAGUGUCACUCGGUGUUACCUCUCCAGACAAUCAAUCAUAGCGAUCCAGACAAUCAAACUUCUAAUCCUCAUACCAGUACCCACAAAAGAUAUGAAACGAGGUAGCUGAAAUAUUAUUUAAACAAUAAAAUCCAAUCCUUAGCAUACAAAGGGAAGUGUUUCCAAGAUAUUUUAACACAACCCAUUUGUUCAAUCAUAGUUCAUAUAUAUCAAGGUAAUGAAGCAUUUAAACAAAUCAUCUCAAGAAUCAGAAAACACUAAGUAAUACUCAUCAAACUGAAUCAAUAUAUAUAAAGUAAUCUAGAAAAUGACAUUUUGGUUAAAUGAAUUUGGAAAAGUAGCCAGGUCAACAACAAAUGGAUUUUCACUUUCUCAAAAGCAGCACAAAUCCCUAAUUCUUAUGGAAAAUAUAAUUUUUAUUUAAUCUCAUAAUUGAUAUGUCUAAUCUCCCUACUUUUUCUUUAAUCUCAGAAUUUCUAGCCAAUCUCCCUAAAUUCUUUACUUCUCAGAAUUGCUAGUUAACCUGUAAUUUCGUGGAUUUAAUCAAAUUUUAGACACAAUGAUGUCAAACCUGCCCAAAUUUCGUUAAUCUCAUUGAGCAUGUGCAUCGAGUCGUUAGAUACCAAGAAGCCAAUAACAUAGUUACUAUUGUUAUUGCAAUUUAGAAAUUAAUCCCUAAACCAUAAAUAUCCUUUAACAUAAAUUAAGUUAUUGUUUUAAUAUCUCAGAUGAUUGCUGGGUUGUAGCCUCAGUUGAAUGUUUGCAAGUUGUGGUAUACAUGAACAUCGGAAUUCAACUUUUGUUCUCCCCACAACAUAUUGUGGACUGUGCCCUUGGAUUCAUGUGCGCCUAACUAAAGAGGAACUUAGCCUACCACUUCGAGAAAGGCUGGGCCAUCUGUUGGAUGCCCUAAUCUACAUGAUUGCCGUACUCUACAUGAAGAAUCAUGAUGUUGCAUUGGAGACCGACUGGCCUUAUAUGGGUCACCCAAUCAACGUAAGCCAACCACCUUCAAACACCUAGUUAAACACCUAAUAAUUUAACUAACAUGUAUGUAAAAUACAUGUUUGAAUUUGAAGGUGGUUGACUUACAUUGAUUGGGUGGCCCAUAUAAAGCCAGUCGGUCUUCCAAUGCAACACCAUGAGUCUUCAUGUAGAGUAGGGCGUCCAACGGAUGGGCCGGCCAUUCUCGGAAGUGGUAGGCUAAGUUCCUCUUUAGUUAGGUGCACAUGAACCCUAGGGGCACAAUCCAUUGUGGGGAUAGCAAAAGUCGGAUUUCGGUGUUCAUGUGUAACACGGCUUGCAAACAUUCAACUGAGACUACUAACCAGCAAUCAUCUUAGAUAUUAAAAACAAUAACAUAAUUUUAUGUUAAAGAAUAUUUAUGGUUUAAGGAUUAGUUUGUAAAUUGCAAUAACAAUAGUAAGUAUGUUACCGGCUUCUUGGUUUCGAACGACUGGAUGCAUAUGAUCAAUGAGGUUAACAAAAUCUGGGUGAGUCUUGUGUCUAAAAUUAGAUUAAAUUACAGGUUAGCUAGCAAUUCUAAGAAGAAUUGGGGAGAUUGGUUAUAAUAUCUGAGAUUAAAGAAGAAGUAGGGAGAUUCGUCAUAUCAAUUAUGAGAUUAAAUAAAAAUUACAUGCCCCAUAAGAAUUAGGGAUUUGUGCUGCUUUUGAGAAAAUGAAAAUCCACUUGUCGUAGACCUGGAUACUUUUCCAGAUUACUUUAAUCAAAAUGUCAUUUUCUAGAUUUCUUUAUAUAUUAUUGGUUCCGUUUAAUGAGUAUUACUUAGUGUUUUCUGCUUCUUGAGAUGAUUUGUUUAAAUGCUUUAUUACCUUGAUAUAUUUGAACUGUGUUUGAAUAAAUGAGUUGUGUUAAAAUAUAUUGACCUUUGUAUGCUAAGGUUUGGAUUUUAUUGUGCAAAUAAUAUUUUAGAUACCUCCUUUCAUAUCUUUUAUCAGUGCUGGUAUGAGGAUUUGAAGUUCUUUAUGUGAUUAUCCUAUUGUGUUUCCUUUUGAGAAUGAAAUUUGAAGCUCAUGUAACAGUUUUAUAAAUGACAAUGUGUUGCUAAACUUGGAAGUUUGUCAAUAGCUAACAUGUUGGAGAAGUAUUUGAUUCAAUUCUUUUUACAAAAGCUUUUAUUUUGUGGAUAUAAUUGAUACAGGUGCUAUUGCAACCAAGCUUUCCCAUGUAUUCAUUUGUGCAUGUUAUUAGCUAGAUUGGAUCUGCAUGUUAUUGUGACUUGAAUGUGCAUAUGGUCAAUGAGGUUAACGAAAUCUGGGGCGAGUUUGGCAGCCUCAUGUCUAAAAUUAGAUUAAAUCUAGGAAAAUUACUGAAUGAGACAUCCCGUUGCCAUAGCUAGCAGGUUGGAGUUGGUGAAUUAUGAUUUUGGGGGGUUUUUUUUUUUAUUAUUUAAUACUUAGGUACAUGUUUUUUUAAAUAUUUUUUGUUUGAAGAAAUUCGAGUGUUGGUGAAAUUACAAUGUUAUUAUUUUUUAACUGUUUACCAAAGUUUUCGCAUUGCACAGCAAGACCUCAAAAUUUUUUGUUUUGGACAUAAAUAAGAAGACAUUGGCUCUAGACCAAGCUCGAAGCUCAUAUUCGUGACCGCGUCUUGGAAAUCUCUUUGUUGCGAUGAUCAUGUUAUUCGACAAGGCGCCGGAAAGUUCUGCCUUUUUGGCGAACUCGAAUUUUUUUGUUUUGGACAUAAAUAAGAAGACAUUGGCUCUAGACCAAACUUGGAGCUCAUAUCCUUGACCGUGUCCCGGAAAUCUCUUUGGUGCGAUGAUCACGUUAUUCGAUAAGGCGCCAGAAAGUCGUGUCUUUUUGGCAGCCUCCGACGAUGGCAUACCCCAUACUCAAAUUUUCUCUCAAGCCUUCUCGUUCCCUUCAAUUUAGUUUCCUUCCAAUCCAUUGUGUUAUUCAAGAACCUCAAUUAAUGUAUUGUGAAUUAAAAGACAUCUUAUAAAUUAUCAAGGGUGUAACUUUUGGAACCAA